GACGGAGGAUGCAAGUGUUAUCCGGAAUCACUGGGCGUAAAGCGUCUGUAGGUUGUUUAAAAAGUCUGCAGUUAAAGGUUGAAGCUUAACUUCAAAAAUGCCGUAGAAACUUUUAAACUUAGAGGAUGGUAGGGUAGAGGGAAUUUCCAGUGGAGCGGUGAAAUGUGUAGAUAUUGGAAAGACCACCGAUGGCGAAGGCACUCUACUGGGCCAUGACUGACACUGAGAGACGAAAAGCUAGGGGGAGCAAAUGGG
rnacentral:rRNA from 1 species